UACGUAGGGGGCAAGCGUUGUCCGGAAUCAUUGGGCGUAAAGCGCGUGUAGGCGGCCCGGUAAGUCCGCUGUGAAAGUCGGGGGGCUCAACCCUCGGAUGCCGGUGGAUACUGUCGGGCUUGAGUACGGAAGAGGCGAGUGGAAUUCCUGGUGUAGCGGUGAAAUGCGCAGAUAUCAGGAGGAACACCAAUUGCGAAGGCAGCUCGCUGGGACGUUACUGACGCUGAGACGCGAAAGCGUGGGGAGCAAACAGG
rnacentral:rRNA from 1 species